rnacentral:rRNA from 1 species
CAGUAGCCGCGGGAACACGUAGGUGGCAAGCGUUGUCCGGAAUUAUUGGGCGUAAAGGGCUCGCAGGCGGUUUCUUAAGUCUGAUGUGAAAGCCCCCGGCUCAACCGUGGAGGGUCAUUGGAAACUGGAAAACUUGAGUGCAGAAGAGGAAAGUGGAAUUCCAUGUGUAGCGGUGAAAUGCGCAGAGAUAUGGAGGAACACCAGUGGCGAAGGCGACUUUCUGGUCUGUAACUGACGCUGAUGUGCGAAAGCGUGGGGAUCAAACAGGAUUAGAUACCCCCGUAGUCCCUGUCUCUUAUAC